rfam:OM182 bacterium BACL3 MAG-120619-bin32 contig01288_1_120619-bin32, whole genome shotgun sequence.
UAACAAGAGGAAAAAUUUGAACUGAUUGCAACCUCUUAAGCUGAAAUGAAUUCAGUUUAAACAAAAAUGCUAAAGCAGAAAGU